rnacentral:tRNA from 1 species
UUGGGGUUGGCCUAGUGGUAGAGUGCUUGCUAGCAUGUUUGAGGCGCUGUGUUCGAUUCUCAGCACCGCAUA